rnacentral:tRNA from 1 species
CGGGCUGUGGCGCAGCUUGGUAGCGCACCUGCUUUGGGAGCAGGGGGUCGCCGGUUCGAGUCCGGCCAGCCCGA